rnacentral:rRNA from 1 species
GACGUAGGGUGCGAGCGUUGUCCGGAUUUAUUGGGCGUAAAGAGCUCGUAGGCGGCUCGUCGCGUCGACCGUGAAAACCCGCGGCUUAACUGCGGGCUUGCAGUUGAUACGGGCAGGCUAGAGUUCGGUAGGGGAGACUGGAAUUCCUGGUGUAGCGGUGAAAUGCGCAGAUAUCAGGAGGAACACCGGUGGCGAAGGCGGGUCUCUGGGCCGAUACUGACGCUGAGGAGCGAAAGCGUGGGGAGCGAACAGG